AGUUUGAUCCUGGCUCAGGAUUAACGCUGGCGGUAUGCCUAACACAUGCAAGUCGAACGGAAUACUAAUUAAGAGAAUCUCACACUAGUGAGAGGUUCUCACGAGUAGUAUUUAGUGGCGGACGGGUGAGUAACACGUUGGAACCUGCCCCGAAGUGGGGAAUAACUGCUCGAAAGAGUAGCUAAUACCCCAUAGUAUCCGGUUUAUCCGGAUUAAAGAUUUAUCGCUUUGGGAGGGGCCUGCGUCUGAUUAGCUAGUUGGUGAGGUAAAAGCUCACCAAGGCGACGAUCAGUAGCUGGUUCGAGAGGAUGACCAGCCACACUGGGACUGAGAUACGGCCCAGACUCCUACGGGAGGCAGCAGUGAGGAAUUUUCCACAAUGGGCGCAAGCCUGAUGGAGCAAUACCGCGUGCAGGAAGACGCUUUUCGGAGUGUAAACUGCUUUUGUCGUCGAAGAUUAUGGCUGUAGACGAAGAAUAAGGACCGGCUAACUACGUG
rnacentral:rRNA from 1 species